UACGUAGGGUGCGAGCGUUGUCCGGAAUUACUCGGCGUAAAGAGCUCGUAGGUGGUUUGUCGCGUUGUUCGUGAAAACCGGGGGCUUAACCCUCGGCGUGCGGGCGAUACGGGCAGACUUGAGUACUGCAGGGGAGACUGGAAUUCCUGGUGUAGCGGUGGAAUGCGCAGAUAUCAGGAGGAACACCGGUGGCGAAGGCGGGUCUCUGGGCAGUAACUGACGCUGAGGAGCGAAAGCGUGGGGAGCAAACGGG
rnacentral:rRNA from 1 species